GGAGAGGUGGCCGAGUGGUUUAAGGCGCUCGCCUGGAACGCGAGUUGGGUUCACGCCCUCGCAGGUUCGAAUCCUGUCCUCUCCGCUA
rnacentral:tRNA from 3 species